AUACGUAGGUGACAAGCGUUAUCCGGAUUUACUGGGCGUAAAGGGCGUGUAGGCGGUCUUGCAAGUCAGAAGUGAAAUUCCUGAGCUCAACUCGGGCGCUGCUUCUGAAACUGCAGGACUUGAGUGCUGGAGGGGAUAGCGGAAUUCCUAGUGGAGCGGUAAAAUGCGCAGAUAUUAGGAAGAACACCGGCGGCGAAGGCGGAUAUCUGGACAGUAACUGACGCUGAGGCGCGAAAGCGUGGGGAGCAAACAGGAUUAGAUCCCCUGGUAGCCCACGCCGUGAACGAUGAAUACUAGGUGUAGGGGGUAUCGACUCCCUCUGUGCCGCAGUUAACACAAUAAGUAUUCCGCCUGGGGAGUACGGUCGCAAGAUUAAAACUCAAAUGAAUUGGCGGGG
rnacentral:rRNA from 1 species